GUUCACUUUGGCAGCACAUAUACCAAAACUGGAGUGAUACAGAGAGGAUUAGGAUGGCCGCUGCACAAGAAUGACAUGAAAAUUCAUGAAGCAUUCUAUAUUUUA